CUCUCUCUCUCUCUCUCUCUGAAGAAAAAAUCUUUACUUUCUCAAAAAAUUUUGAAUAACUAUCAACUGGGACCAGAAAAAUAACAAUUCUGUCAAUUCGAGCCUCCCUUAAUUCCAAAUAAAAAGCUACAAAAGCCAAUCAUCACCCCAAAAAAAAUCACUAUUCUUUCAUUUCUCAUCAACUAGACACAAUGAGAGAGGGGGAAAAACCAUGCUAAAGACAACCAAUUUUGUAAAGAACCAACCAAUUCGUUGCCACUGCAGGAAAUAGAAACCAUCUUGGAUGACUCGUCCUCUGAGCUCAAAUCCCUCCUCUUCCUUCCAUUCCCACCACCUCCACCAACGCUCUGCUCCGUCACGGUAGAUUCUUCCAUCGACCCAUCUCGCUCCCCAAAUCCCCCAGCCAAAUUCCCCAUUCGUAGACCCAACACACCACCCCCGCCCGCUUGUGCAUUAAUUGCAGGAAAAGGCCAAAUCUCGGUCAAAGUGUAGGAAGAUGGAUUAGCUGCAGAGAAGGAGGUCUCGUUUACCAAUGGAGGAUCCAUAAUCUUGUCAGGAAUUGGGGUUUAUUGAAAGAAUUCUGGUGUGUGAAGUUGGUAUUCGAAUUCUAGUGGUUGGAAUUGGAGGGACAAAGGGUGGUGUGUUGCUUAAUUUUCUGGGUUUACACAGUGUAUUAAAACAGUGAGAAGGCAAGCAGAACCAGAAAGUGAGUGAUCUUUUUUCCACUCUCACUUGAGGUUGGGGAUGGUGUGCGCACU
rnacentral:misc_RNA from 1 species